rnacentral:rRNA from 1 species
CCUACGGGAGGCAGCAGUAGGGAAUUUUCCACAAUGGGCGAAAGCCUGAUGGAGCAAUACCGCGUGCAGGAUGAAGGCCUUCGGGUCGUAAACUGCUUUUAUGUGCGAAGAAUUUGACGGUAACACAUGAAUAAGGAUCGGCUAACUACGUGCCAGCAGCCGCGGUCAUACGUAGGAUCCAAGCGUUAUCCGGAAUUACUGGGCGUAAAGAGUUGCGUAGGUGGCAUUAUAAGUGGAGCGUGAAAGCGUGCGGCUCAACCGCAUUAUUGCGUUCCAAACUGUGAAGCUUGAGUAUGGGAGAGGUAGAUGGAAUUUCUAGUGUAGGAGUGAAAUCCGUAGAUAUUAGAAGGAACACCGAUGGCGUAGGCAGUCUACUGGCCCAUUACUGACACUAAGGCACGAAAGCGUGGGGAGCAAACGGGAUUAGAUACCCCGGUAGUCCACGCUGUAAACUAUGGAUGCUAGCUGUGACACACAUCGACCUGUGUCGUAGCGAAGUUAACGCGUUAAAGCGUUCCCCGCCGUCGGGAGGUACGGUCGCGAGAAUUAAACGUACGAAGAAGUUAGUACGGCGUGAGACGUGCCGACGGACGACGACGAGGGAGGUAGG